rnacentral:rRNA from 1 species
AUUGAACGCUAGCGGGAUGCCUUACACAUGCAAGUCGAACGGAGUGGCGAACGGGUGAGUAAUGUAACGGAACGUGCCCAGUAGCGGUGGAUAACUACGCAAAAGCGUAGCUAAUACCGCAUACUAUGGGAGCGGUCGUUAUCGGAUUAGCUAGGUGGGGGGGUAAUGGCUCACCAAGGCGACGAUCCGUAGCUGGUUUGAGAGGAGGACCAGCCACACUGGGACGGAGAAACGGCCCAGACCCCUACGGGAGGCAGAAGUGGGGAACUUUGGAAAAGGGGGGAAAUCCUGAUGCAGACAGCCGGCGUGUGCGAUGAAGGCCUUCGGGUUGUAAAGCACUUUUGGCAGGAAGGCGGUACCUGAAGAAUAAGCACCGGCUAACUACGUGCCAGCAGCCGCGGUAAUAC